GCUAAAAAGGUUCGUGAUACCCCGGUGGUUGAGAAGCGCAAAAACAGGCAACAAAUAUUGACACCGGAUACUAAUACAUGCGGACCAGCAAUGCGGACAAGGGGGGCUAGAAAAGUUAAGGAUGCACAUUGUGAGGAGAAGGUACGCAGGAGAAAGCUAAUAAUUUUACCAGAUAGUGACUUGGACACUCCGAUGGAAAACAUUGA